GAAGCCCAAGAACUCCAAUGGCCGAUUUGAGAACAGCUAAUCUCCAAGAACAUUUCCCUGCAUAAUCCUUUUGAUAAUUCUUUUGAUACACAUACAAUCUUUCCCUGAUAGCUAAACUAACUAUGAGCCUAACUAUUAUUAUUCAGCCCAACUAACUAUUCAAUUAUAAACUCAAGCCCAAAGGCCCUAACCCAAUAUCCCUUACAUUUAAACCCAAGCCCACAGGUUCUAACAUAAUAUCCCUUACAGAAAGAGAGACCGAGAGAGAGGGAGAGAAACAGAGAGCUUGAGAGAAGAGGCGUGCGGUGGGCUAGCCACCGUUUGUGGCGGACGACGGCGCCGGGGCGGGUGGGUCACGAUUCAACGCCAGUGAGGCAAAAAUCUUGGAGUUCUGGCAUUUUCUCGGUAGCCAAGCAGUAGAAAAUCCAUUUUUUUUUGGGUAAGUAUAAUUUUUAGGCUUGAUUUCUUGAUUUUUGUUUUGAUUUGGGUUGUUUUGUGAAGAUUUUCGUUAUUCCCACUUAUUCCGGUUCUAUAAUGGCAAAAAUCAACCACCAAAACAGUUGGAAUUGAUCUUCCAGCAAUUGAAGUCCGAUUUGAGCACCUAAACGUUGAAGCAGAAGUUCAUGUAAGGAGGCAGAGCCUUGCCUUCCUUCUUUAACUUCAUUAUAAACAUCCUAGAGAUGUAUGAAAUGUAAUGGCAAGGGAAAGAUAUAUGCUCUGCCUAUAAAGGUCAAUGUUUUGUAUUCAUUUAUAUAGUCAUCAUAGGUUUCGGUAUACAAUCUCAGAAUAUUUGUCUUCCGUAAUUUUAUUGAGUUCUAUGGCGGCAUCUGGUAAAUCGAAGCUCAUAGAUGGAGAGACAUGCAUUUUUAUAACUACGUGGAGAAUUUGUCUGUUGAUAACUGAACUUAAUUAGUUGCUCAUUCUUUACAAGGUCUUUUGCUGUAUUAGAUCAGACAAUAGUUUAGUCUUAUUUGGACUUGCUCAGUGUAACAAUGAGACAUGCAUAAAGAAAAAAACUUGGAUUGAUUUUA